rnacentral:rRNA from 1 species
CUACGGGAGGCACCAGUAAGGAAUAUUGCGCAAUGGAGGCAACUCUGACGCAGCCAUGCCGCGUGCAGGAAGAAGGCCUUAUGGGUCGUAAACUGCUUUUAUUUAGGAAUAAACCCCCGAACGUGUUCGGGGCUGAAGGUACUAAACGAAUAAGCACCGGCUAACUCCGUGCCAGCAGCCGCGGUAAUACGGAGGGUGCAAGCGUUAUCAGGAUUUAUUGGGUUUAAAGGGUGCGCAGGCGGGCUAUUAAGUCAGUGGUGAAAUCCCGGGGCUCAACUCCGGAACUGCCAUUGAUACUGAUAGUCUUGAGUUUGGUUGAAGUGGGCGGAAUGUAGCAUGUAGCGGUGAUAUGCAUAGAUAUGCUACAGAACACCAAUCGCGAAGGCAGCUCACUAAGCCAAAACUGACGCUCAUGCACGAAAGCGUGGGGAUCAAACAGGAUUAGAUACCCUUGUAGUC